rnacentral:lncRNA from 1 species
AAAACAUUAUGCUGCCAAUUCACCUAUUUUAUUUGUUGGAAGAAAUAACUAUUAACUAAUAAUAUAUCAUUACAAAUUUAUAUGCAGCAACUUAUUCAAAGCAUUUUCUGUAUUUAAAAUGUAAAUAUGAUAGAUAUAACAACCUUGACUGAGAAGAUUUGACAACAAUAAUGUACGCUUCAGCAAUACAGUCUAGUGUCUUGUUGUAGGUAUUCCUAUUGGAACAAAUCACACCUAUUUUAUAACAAACUAGUCCCUGUGUUGUUAUGAAUAAAGAAUGUAUGUCCAAACUCAGUAAGAUCUAUCUUAAUGAUAAAUCUAAUAUCUCUUACCGUUACCUUGAUAUUUUUCUUUCAAUAAUCAAGAAUUUUAUAACCAUUCUGCGAAAAUCUAAGACAGGGUACUUACUUUAGAUAAAUCUUAAUAUGUCUUAUUUUUCUGGAUUUAAAUAUUUCUGCUUAACAAAAAUUUACGACCAAAGAGAUUUUCAUUCCUUAUUCCCAUUUUCAGAUAGCGAUACACCCUUGGUCCCUUCUUACAAUGCUUGUAUCUUCUUAUUCGUGCGUUUUGCCUACUAUCUGAAGUAAUGUGGGUUUUUUAAAUCUUAUUUCAACGUACGUUAUGUUUUUAUACCUUGUAAAUUAUUAAGCCAAGGC